rnacentral:rRNA from 1 species
GGACUACGAGGGUAUCUAAUCCGUUUUGCGCCCCUGGCCUUCAUCCCUUACUGUCAGAACUGUCCUCGUAAGAUGCCUUCGCUGUUGUUAGUCCGUCUGGGAUUAACACAUUUUACCGCUACUCCAAACGUACUUCUUACGUCUUCCAGUCUCUAGCUCAACAGUACUUCUUGCCCGAUCUAUACUUGAGAUAUAGAAUUUCACAAGAAACUUAUUAAGCAAGCUACGGAUGUUUUAGACCCAAUAAUGAUGGCUGCGACUUGGACCGCGGGUAUUACCGCGGCGGCUGGCACCCGUCUUACCCAGUCCUUAUUCGCCAAACUUUUUACAUUUGGCAAAAGAUUUUCAAAUGAAAAUCACUCUGACUCAAUCUGUCACGCUUGCGCGCAUUGCAGAAGAUUCCCCACUGCUGCCCCCCGUAGG